rnacentral:rRNA from 1 species
GUGGGGAAUAUUGGACAAUGGGCGCAAGCCUGAUCCAGCCAUGCCGCGUGAGUGAUGAAGGCCCUAGGGUUGGAAAGCUCUUUCAACGGUGAAGAUAAUGACGAUAACCGUAGAAGAAGCCCCGGCUAACUUCGUGCCAGCAGCCUCGGUAAUACGAAGGGGGCUAGCGUUGUUCGGAAUUACUGGGCGUAAAGCGCACGUAGGCGGAUCGUUAAGUCGGGGGUGAAAUCCCGGGGCUCAACCCCGGAACUGCCUUCGAUACUGGCGAUCUAGAGUUCGAGAGAGGUGAGUGGAAUUCCGAGUGUAGAGGUGAAAUUCGUAGAUAUUCGGAGGAACACCAGUGGCGAAGGCGGCUCACUGGCUCGAUACUGACGCUGAGGUGCGAAAGCGUGGGGAGCAAACAGGAUUAGAAACCCGAGUAGUCC